AAAUCAUUCAUAUAUCUAAGAUCAAGAGAAUUUAAAAUAAUUUUAAAUCUGAUUAUAAUGAUGAUCGCAUCAUCACCUUUGCACAGGUAGUAAUACACCGCUGUCCGAUGAUUGUGGAGUUGAGGUUCACAGUUGAACCACGUAUGUGUCCGGCUUCUACAGAUAUCCACUCGGACUCGGACUAGGAUGCCUUCUCCAACUUUGAUCUAUCUUC
rnacentral:lncRNA from 1 species